rnacentral:rRNA from 1 species
GUUUUUCGAAUUGAAUGUAAAAUUAAAUCUGCUCACUGAUAACAAUUAAAGAGCCGCAGUAUUUUAACUGUGCUAAGGUAGCAUAAUAAAUAGUCUUUUAAUUGGAGACUGGAAUGAAGGAUUUAAUGAGAAAUCAACUGUUUUAAAAUUAAGUGUUGAAUUUAAAUUUUUAGUAAAAAUGCUAAAAUUUAAUUUGGGGACGAGAAGACCCUAUAGAUUUUUAUUUAUUAAUUUAAAAUUAAAUUUUAAUUUUUAUAGUUUUAGGUUAAAUGAAUUUGGCUGGGGCAGUUUAAUAAUAAAAGGAAUUUAUUAAGUUUGAAAUUAUUUAUAAAUAUUAUUGUGAUCUUUUUUUUUGAUUAAUAGAUUAAAUUACCUUAGGGAUAACAGCGUAAUUUUAUUGGAUAGUUCAUAUUGAAAAUGAAGAUUGCGACCUCGAUGUUGAAUUAAGGAUACAAUUAGAAGUAAAAAUUUUAUUUGUUAGUCUGUUCGACUAUUAAAUUCU